ensembl:processed_transcript
AUCAUUGACCUGAACCGAAGAUAUUAUUCACAGAAGCAGAAAUUAAAUUCUGUAUGACUUUUGGAUCAUUAAUCAGAGGUAUGAAAUGUCUGUUUAUGCUAAUAAUUUUAUACUAUUGCAUGUUCAAUGUUGGUGAAUUUGCAAUUUUUAUUGGAUUUCUUUGAUUUUAUUAAAAAGGUCAUUUAAACUUUACCAUAUUGACUUUCUCUCUCUCAUCCAUCCACAUGUUUCCUUUAGUGAUUGUGACUAUUAUUGAGAUUAUGGUGUUUGCUGCUCCUACUGUGAUUCUUCUUCAGAUCAUCUUUGCAAGACGAGCUGGAAGGAAGAACUUACAUCCAGAGGAAGAUAGAGAUGCCUGCAAUAUUAGAUGUAAAUCUAAUUAAAGGGAUAGUUCACCAAAAAAUUUUUUUAAUUUACUUAGUUAACUCUCCCCAUGUGGUUACAAACCAUUAUGAGUUUCUUUCAAAAUAGAACAAUAAGAAGAUAUUUUGAAAAAUGUUAGAAACUGCUGCCCAUUCACAUCCAUAGUAGGAAUAACAAAGAGGUCAGUGUUACAGGUUUCCAACACUAUUCAAAAUAACUUUUUGAACAUUUUUUACUUUAAGGAAAGAAAUUCUAACAGGUUUGCAACAUGUACAAGGGUGAGUAAAGGAUGACAGAAUUAUCAGAAAUAUCCCUAAAGUUUAUUGUGCAAAUUUAGCAUAAUUUCAUGUAAUUUCCCAGUGCUAUAUUGUAAAUACUGCUUUCAAGUAAGAACUGUUUGUGUGUACUGUACUGUGCACUAUAAAAAAAUAUCUGAUACUUA